rnacentral:rRNA from 1 species
AUUGAACGCUGGCGGCAUGCCUUACACAUGCAAGUCGAACGGCAGCAUGGAGAGCUUGCUCUCUGAUGGCGAGUGGCGAACGGGUGAGUAAUGCAUCGGAACGUACCGUGUAAUGGGGGAUAACGUAGCGAAAGUUACGCUAAUACCGCAUACGACCUGAGGGUGAAAGCAGGGGAUCGCAAGACCUUGCGUUAUACGAGCGGCCGAUGUCAGAUUAGCUAGUUGGUGAGGUAAAGGCUCACCAAGGAGACGAUCUGUAGCGGGUCUGAGAGGAUGAUCCGCCACACUGGGACUGAGACACGGCCCAGACUCCUACGGGAGGCAGCAGUGGGGAAUUUUGGACAAUGGGGGCAACCCUGAUCCAGCCAUGCCGCGUGAGUGAAGAAGGCCUUCGGGUUGUAAAGCUCUUUCGGCCGGGAAGAAAUCGCACAGGCUAAUACUCUGUGUGGAUGACGGUACCGGCAUAAGAAGCACCGGCUAGCUACGUGCCAGCCGCCGCGGUAA